UGUUACUCUUGAUAGCUCAGUCAGUAGAGCACGAGACUCUUAAUCUUAGGGUUGUUGGUUCGAGCCCCAAGUUGGACAA